GGGGGUGUAGCUCAGUGGUAGAACGUAAGACCCUGGGUUCAAUCUCCAGCACCACCA
rnacentral:tRNA from 1 species